rnacentral:rRNA from 1 species
UACGAAGGGUGCAAGCGUUACUCGGAAUUACUGGGCGUAAAGCGUGCGUAGGUGGUGAGUUAAGUCUGUCGUGAAAGCCCCGGGCUCAACCUGGGAAUGGCGAUGGAUACUGGCUCGCUAGAGUGCGGUAGAGGAGAGUGGAAUUCCCGGUGUAGCAGUGAAAUGCGUAGAUAUCAGGAGGAACACCGAUGGCGAAGGCAGAUCUCUGGGCCGUAACUGACGCUGAGGAGCGAAAGCAUGGGGAGCGAACAGG